GAUGAACGCUAGCUACAGGCUUAACACAUGCAAGUCGAGGGGUAACGAGAGGGAAGCUUGCUUUCCUUGUCGACGACCGGCGCACAGGUGAGUAACGCGUAUCCAACCUGCCCCCAACUAGGGAAUAACCUUGCGAAAGUAAGACUAAUACCCUAUAAUUUCCUCAGAUGUCAUCUGACGAGGAACAAAGAUUUAUCGGUUGUGGAUGGGGAUGCGUCUGAUUAGCUUGUUGGCGGGGUAACGGCCCACCAAGGCAACGAUCCGUAGGGGUUCUGAGAGGAAGGUCCCCCACAUUGAGACUGAGACACGGGCCAAACUCCUACGGGAGGCAGCAGUGAGGAAUAUUGGUCAAUGGGCGGAAGCCUGAACCAGCCAAGUAGCGUGCAGGAUGACGGCCCUAUGGGUUGUAAACUGCUUUUAUACAGGAAUAAAGUUAGCCACGUGUGGUUAUUUGUAGGUACUGUAUGAAUAAGGACCGGCUAAUUCCGUGCCAGCCGCCGCCGUAA
rnacentral:rRNA from 1 species